rnacentral:rRNA from 1 species
UACGGAGGAUGCAAGCGUUGUCCGGAAUCAUUGGGCGUAAAGGGUCCUGAGGUGGUUUGCUCAGUCCACUGUGAAAGUUCAGGGCUUACCCUUGAAAAUGCGGUGGAAACUAGUAGGCUAGAGUACGGUGGGGGCAGAGGGAAUUCCCGAUGUAGCGGUGAAAUGCAUAGAUAUCGGGAAGAACACCGAUGGCGAAGGCACGCUGCUGGGCCGACACUGACACUGAAAGACGAAAGCCAGGGGAGCGAAUGGG